ensembl:lncRNA
CCUCCCUUUUCCCCACUUAGAAUCGUGCCGAGGGAUCUGGAGACGUCCUAGAGAGGUCUGGGGGCAUCCAGGGGGUUCUGGACUCAUGCAGAAGAGUCUGGAGAUGUCCAAGGAGGAUCCAGGGAGUCCCCAGGCCUGCCUGCAGCCGGUCCCGGUGACACCGGAGCCCUCCCUCUGGCGCUGUCACCAUCCUCUGUCCCGAGGACGGGAGGUGAACUCUGUGCCACCAGCAGAGGGGACCACGGGUGACAUCAGUGUGGAACAGCCGUGACGCGGCGGCGUUGUCAUUGGGUGUCACCGUCACGCAGAGGGGACAAAAGGACCCCCCUGGGGGCAUUGCGUCGAAGUUGGGGACACCGUGAGCAGCUUGAGGACUUCCCAGGGGAAGUGGGGGCACCGCGUCACCGUGUCACACCCCAAAGGUGGGGAUGCCCCCACAGUGUCACACCUCAAAGUUGGGGACACCCCCACAGUGUCACACCCCAAAGUUGGGGACACCCCACAGUGUCACACCCCAAAGUUGUGGACACCUCUGUGUCACCCCAAUGGUGUCAUACCCCAAAGUUGGGGACACCCCCACAGUGUCACACCCAAAAGUUGGGGACGCCCCCACAGUGUCACAUCUCAAAUUUGGGGACACCCAAAGUUUGGGGACACCCCUGCAGUGUCACACCCCAAAGUUGGGGACGCCCUACACAGUGUCACACCCGAAAGUUGGGACAGCUCUGUGUCCCCCCGAUGGUGUCAGACCCCCAAGUUGGGGACACCCCCACAGUGUCACAGCCCAAAGUUGGGGUCUGUCCCAGAGGUGGGAGUGCCCCCACAUCCCCACCGUGGCGUCACAUCCCAAAGUUGGGGACCCCCUCUGGGGACCCAUUCAGUGCGUCCCCCAUUGCAGACCGCACUGUUCCCAUGGGGUGGGGGCGGGGGGCACCCUUUAUUUUUGGGAUUAAAGUUUAUUUCGUGAUAAAGGGGUGUUGGGGGAUGCCCCCCCCACGUGAAUAAAGGGCAGAGGAGCGGC